GCACCUCUAGUGACCGUCUGAGUGUCUGUCACUAGGAAGCAAUGUAAGCACUGCCUUUUCUCUAAAAAGUCAGUGUUUACAUUGAAAAGCCUGCAGGGACAGGCUAUAGACACCAGAGCCACUACAUUAAGCUGUGUGUGUGCGCACCUGCUAGUGAGUGGGCUUGCUUGUGUGUGUGUGCCUGCUACUGAGUGAGCUUGUGUUUUUAUUUUAAUGACCUUAUGUGUAUCAGUGAGAUUGUUUGUCUAUGAGGCUGUGUAUCAAUCAG